UACGUAGGGAGCGAGCGUUAUCCGGAUUUAUUGGGUGUAAAGGGUGCGUAGACGGGAAUGCAAGUUAGUUGUGAAAUCCCUUGGCUUAACUGAGGAACUGCAACUAAAACUACAUUUCUUGAGUGCAGGAGAGGUAAGUGGAAUUCCUAGUGUAGCGGUGAAAUGCGUAGAUAUUAGGAGGAACACCAGUGGCGAAGGCGACUUACUGGACAGUAACUGACGUUGAGGCUCGAAAGCGUGGGGAGCAAACAGG
rnacentral:rRNA from 1 species